AUCCACCUGCAAAACACACUUCUACACACACAAAAAAGACAAAGCAACCAUAUCAGAAAUAUAUAUAUAUAUAUAUAUAUAUAUAUGUUAACAGGGUAGUUGUAGACCGAUAAGCUGCCUCAUUCUCUCAUUACACACUGGUCAAUCCAAACCCAAAUAUCCUGCCGCUUAACGUUAUAUUUCCUAAUAUAUACAUUUCCACC
rnacentral:lncRNA from 1 species